rnacentral:snRNA from 1 species
UUGUCUUUCUCGGCCUUUUGGCUAAGAUCAAGUGUAGUAUCUGUUCUUCCUAAUGUAUUCUUCUCCAAGCUUAUCAACUUGAAAUGUACCGCACAACUUCCUAUUUAUUACCCCCA